AAAGGUUUUCGGGUGUGGAACGACAUGAGACAGCUGGAGGAGAGACGGCCUGUGCGGCAACAACAAGACAAUGAUGAUUAUAAGCAGGGGUGGACUGCACGGAUCCAGGAUCAAGAGAUCAUUCAUCAUGAAAACCAUGUUCCAGGAGAAGCAGGUCUGCUUGAUCAUUUUGCUGUCCUGGAUGUGAGAACAUUGUCAAAAUGUUUGUCAAUCAGCAUCCAGCCAUAAAAGCAGACUUCUCGUUAAAAGGCUCAGGAGGACAAACAGUUCUGCAUGGAUUUCAAGGUUAUGGACAGAGCAACAUCUCCAUUCCAUUAUGGACAGACCAACAUCUCCGGAGUAAAGGUGAGAAGCAGAUUUUAAAAAUAAAGGUCAAGGUGGUAUUUUGGUCGUUAGGACGUACCUGCCACGUUCCAGCAACAUACCACUAAAACGUCGCCACAACGAAUAUGGGAAUCACAAAGUUACGUCGCUGGAACUUUAUUAGGAACGUUGUUGCAACUAAUAUGAGCCGAUCCAGUUACGUUUUUAACAUGCCAGUUUGGUCGUUGAGACGUUAUUGUCACGUUCCAGCAACGUACAGCUAUAACGUCGUCAUGACAAAUAUGGGAAUCGCAAAUCUACAUCACUGGAACGUUAUUUGGAACUUCGCUGUGACUAAUAUGAACCAAUCUGGUUGCGAUUUUACAACGUGCCAGUUUGGUCGUUGAGAUGUACUCCUCACGUUACAGAGUAGCCUACCACUAUAACGUCACCACGACGAUAUGGGAAUCACAAAGUUGCAUCACUGGAAUGUUAUUUGGUACGUUGCUACAAUGAAUAUGGUCCGGUCCAAUUACAUCAUCACAACGUAACUGUGUUAGCUGGGUAUGGCUGAGAGAGAGCUUACUCGGAUGAAAACCACUUCAGUGAGCUCAAUUAUAGUAACGCGGAAUUUUUUUUUUUUUUUUUGUCAGUAACAGUAAUGGCGUUGUAACGGGGGAAAAGUCAUUCAUUUGAUUAGUCGUUACUGAAAAAAGUAACACUGUUUAUUUAUAAUGCCGUUAUUCCCAUCACUGGUGAUUACUUAUGUUUUAUUAUCCUAACACUUCUCUUCAUGUGUUUUUUGACCUC